UCGUCCUUCUGAUUUCCGCCGUCGAAGCUGGCAGCAAUUCGUCGACCGAGGGCGUUUACUCGGAGCUCCUUGCAGGAGGACGGUGUACCGGAAAAGUGGGAGAGUGCAAUGUACAAGAGACGGAAUGGGUUGUGGACUCUGAAAUCACCCGGAGAUUACUGAAAAGAAAAGAUAGAUAUAUUAGUAGCAUCGCUGUAAGAAAUAGUGGUAGUAGUGUAUUGAAGAGUAAACGAACACAUUCUUAUACAUGUGCCGGAACUUACAGAUGUAAACCCCAUCAUUAGAUCUGUAAUUCAAAUUUCGACAUGAUUCAUCUACAAUUAAAAUUGACAGACUGAUUCUCUGUGACACAAAAUGCCAAUUUAAAAGUUUAAAAUUGACAAACUUGAUAAUUGAUACCUGUCAGAGCUUCACCUUCCCGCUGGGCAUUGUUGCCUGUACUCGACGGAAGAAGGUCGUUUAGAGGUUUGAUUGGAGACAUACGUCAAAUUAAUAUUACUAUUGUUUGCGACAUAAAAUCUAUAGGUCUGUUUAAUCACUGUAAUGAUGAUUUUUUU
rnacentral:lncRNA from 1 species